GAUGAACGCUGGCUACAGGCUUAACACAUGCAAGUCGAGGGGAAACGACGGGGAAGCUUGCUUCCCCGGGCGUCGACCGGCGCACGGGUGAGUAACGCGUAUCCAACCUGCCUCUGACUGAGGGAUAACCCGUCGAAAGUCGGCCUAAUACCUCAUGGUAUCGUCUGCGGGCAUCCAACGACGAUUAAAGAUUUCAUCGGUCAGGGAUGGGGAUGCGUCUGAUUAGCUUGUUGGCGGGGUAACGGCCCACCAAGGCUACGAUCAGUAGGGGUUCUGAGAGGAAGGUCCCCCACAUUGGAACUGAGACACGGUCCAAACUCCUACGGGAGGCAGCAGUGAGGAAUAGUGGUCAAUGGGCGAGAGCCUGAACCAGCCAAGUAGCGUGCAGGAAGACGGCCCUAUGGGUUGUAAACUGCUUUUAUGAGGGGAUAAAGUGAGGGACGUGUCCCUCAUUGCAGGUACCGAAGGAAUAAGGACCGGCUAAUUCCGU
rnacentral:rRNA from 1 species